UGGGGAAUUUUCCGCAAUGGGCGAAAGCCUGACGGAGCAAUACCGCGUGAGGGAGGAAUGCCUUUGGGUUGUAAACCUCUUUUCUCAGGGAAGAAGAUCUGACGGUACCUGAGGAAUAAGUAUCGGCUAACUCCGUGCCAGCAGCCGCGGUAAUAUGGAGGAUGCAAGCGUUAUCCGGAAUCAUUGGGCGUAAAGCGUCCGCAGGUGGUUUCCAAAGUCUGCUGUUAAAGACUGGAGCUCAACUCCGGAACGGCGGUGGAAACUUGGAAACUAGAGUUCGGUAGGGGUAGCAGGAAUUCCCAGUGUAGCGGUGAAAUGCGUAGAUAUUGGGAGGAACAUCGGUGGCGAAGGCGUGCUACUGGACCGUAACUGACACUCAGGGACGAAAGCUAGGGGAGCGAAAGGGAUUAGAUACCCCUGUAGUCCUAGCUGUAAACGAUGGAAACUAGGUGUGGCUUGA
rnacentral:rRNA from 1 species